CUGACACUGCCCCUUACCCCCAGAGGAUGGGAGGGUCUUUGUCGUACUGCCUCUACACAGGUAUCUCACAGUCAACAGGCCCAGUCAACAGGCUCCACCUGGGAAUGCUUGUGUGGGUAACAUGUUGAUUGCACUGGAAAAAGAACAACUCCAGCUAAAUGCGAAGACCUUCAGUUGAAACGGGGGGAAACAACUACAGCAGGAAUAGAGGCACCACCAGGAGCUUAUUCUGUUACAAAAAGACUGCAAGACGUCCUGGCCAAACAGCACUGGCAGAAGCACAGCUCAGCAGGCGCUCAAAUUUCAGUGCCAGUUUUAUUGCCCGCAGGACAAGACUCCAGCCCAAACAGACCAAAUGGAGCCUCCUGAAAUGUCAUAUGCCAUAUAGUUCUAGUUUUGUUUUAUACUCUGUGCUUCUUUUGUCAGUUAUUGUAAUCUUGCUUAUGUGCCUGUUUUCCUACUUGUGGUUAUUUAGUUUGAUCUUGUGUCCUUUCUCUUGCCUUCCAUGUUUCAUAAAGUUUGAUUUAUGGUUUUGUUUUUCUGUUAGUUAUGGUAUCUUAUUUGUUUGUUUUGUUACUUUAUUAAACUCAUAUGCACUUGCAACCUGUCACAGUUCCCCUCCCCUAGCAUCAUGGUUCCCUUGGCGACCUGUCAUGUGUUCCUUUUUGUUCAGUUUCUGGUUUUGUUGCUUGUUUUGUUUCUCUGCCCUCGAUUGCUUUCACCUGUCUCGUGUGUUGUAUUUAAGCCCUAUGUUUCUUUCGUCUAGUACUGGUUAUUGUUAUUACUACCAGUCUGUCAUUAUUCUGUUUCCUGUUUGCUUGUAGCUUCCUCUUUUUUCUGUUUUCUGGCCAUCUGUAUUUAACUUUUAAGUUUCCAGUCUACCCUAUUCCAUAGCCUGUUUCUUAUUAGCCCUGUAUCUUGUUUUAUUCAUCCUGUUUCCCAUAGUCUUUCUUUUGAACCAGUAUUUUGUUUCUUGUGUCCCAUAUUCAGUUCCCUGUUAGCCUAUAUUCUGUUUAAUUUCUAGUUUUUGUUUGUUGUAGCCUGUUACCUGUUAGCCUUUUUUCCUGUUACUUUUGUUGCUGUAGCCAGUUGCCUGUUUGCCUUUGUAUCUGUUCUUUGACUUGUUCUUUUACCGUGUUGCCGUUACCCUGUUCCUGGUCUCUGUGAUCUUUUAGUGUUACAUUUACUCUAGUGGUUGCCUGCUUUGUUCCUUGUCUGAUGUUUUCAUUUCUCUUUUCCGGUUUCAUUUACAACCCUGGACUGUUCU
ensembl:lncRNA